AUUGAACGCUGGCGGCAGGCCUAACACAUGCAAGUCGAACGAGUGGCGGACGGGUGAGUAAUGUCUGGGAAACUGCCCGAUGGACGGGGAUAACUACUGGAAACGGUAGCUAAUACCGCAUACCAUCGGAUGUGCCCAGAUGGGAUUAGCUAGUAGGUGGGGUAACGGCUCACCUAGGCGACGAUCCCUAGCUGGUCUGAGAGGAUGACCAGCCACACUGGAACUGAGACACGGUCCAGACUCCUACGGGAGGCAGCAGUGGGGAAUAUUGCACAAUGGACGCAAGCCUGAUGCAGCCAUGCCGCGUGAAUGAAGAAGGCCUUCGGGUUGUAAAGUACUUUCGGCGGGGAAGCGUUAGUCGCAGAAAAAGCAACGGCUAACUACGUGCCAGCCGCCGCGGUAAUUC
rnacentral:rRNA from 1 species